AACGAACGCUGGCGGCGUGGAUAAGACAUGCAAGUCGAACGGUGACUGGUGAGUAGCAAUAUUUGCCGGUCAUAGUGGCGCAAGGGUGCGUAACACGUGGGCAAUUUGCCGCGAAGACUGGGAUAACCGCGAGAAAUCGUGGCUAAUACCAGAUGUGAUUCCCGGGAGGCAUCUCUCGGAACUCAAAGCUGGGGAGCUGGCGAAAGUCAGUCCUGGCGCUUUGCGAUAAGCCCGCGGCCUAUCAGCUAGUUGGCGGGUAACGGCCCACCAAGGCUAAGACGGGUAGCUGGUCUGAGAGGACGACCAGCCACACUGGAACUGAGACACGGUCCAGACACCUACGGGUGGCAGCAGUCGAGAAUUUUUCACAAUGGGCGAAAGCCUGAUGGAGCGACGCCGCGUGGGGGAUGAAUGGCUUCGGCCCGUAAACCCCUGUCAUUUGCGAACAAAUCUCCGGCAUGAAUAGUGUCGGAGUUGAUGGUAGCAGAAGAGGAAGGGACGGCUAACUCUGUGCCAGCAGCCGCGGUAAUACAGAGGUCCAAAGCGUUGUUCGGAUUCACUGGGCGUAAAAGGGU
rnacentral:rRNA from 1 species